rnacentral:rRNA from 1 species
GGCGUGCCUAACACAUGCAAGUCGAUCCAGAGGGUGUGGCUGUAGCAAUACAGUCGCACCAGUAAAGUGGCGAACGGGUGAGUAACACGUAGCUAACCUACCCUCGAGCGGGGAAUAACCCGGGGAAACCUGAGCUAAUACCGCAUAACAUUCCGAUGGCCCAAGUCAUCGGGAUCAAAGGCCCGCAAGGGUCACUUGAGGAGGGGGCUGCGGCCGAUUAGCUAGUUGGUGGGGUAAUGGCCUACCAAGGCGAUGAUCGGUAGCCGGCCUGAGAGGGCGCACGGCCACACUGGCACUGAAAUACGGGCCAGACUCCUACGGGAGGCAGCAGUGGGGAAUUUUGCACAAUGCCCGAAAGGGUGAUGCAGCAACGCCGCGUGAGGGAUGAAGGCCCUCGGGUCGUAAACCUCUUUCGAUCGGGAAAAACGGGCGGGUGAAGAACCCGUUCUGAUGGUACCGGAUGAAGAAGCCCCGGCCAACUACGUGCCAGCAGCCGCGGUAAUACGUA